rnacentral:tRNA from 1 species
CGGGGUGGCGGAAUUGGCAGACGCAUUGGACUUAAAAUCCAAAGGGCUACGCCCGUGAGGGUUCGAGUCCCUCCCCCGG